rnacentral:rRNA from 1 species
UUGAACGCUGGCGGUAUGCUUAACACAUGCAAGUCGAACGGAAACGAUACUAGCUUGCUAGUAGGCGUCGAGUGGCGGACGGGUGAGUAACGCGUAGGAAUCUGCCUGAUAGUGGGGGAUAGCCCGAAGAAAUUCGGAUUAAUACCGCAUAAUCUAUUCGUAGUAAAGUGGGGGACUUUCGAGCCUCACGCUAUCAGAUGAGCCUGCGUAAGAUUAGCUAGUUGGUAGGGUAAAAGCCUACCAAGGCAACGAUCUUUAGCUGGUCUGAGAGGAUGAUCAGCCACAUCGGGACUGAGACACGGCCCGAACUCCUACGGGAGGCAGCAGUGGGGAAUAUUGGACAAUGGGGGCAACCCUGAUCCAGCAAUACCGCGUGUGUGAAGAAGGCCUGAGGGUUGUAAAGCACUUUCAAUUGUGAAGAAAAGUUAACGGUUAAUAACCGUUAGCCUUGACGUUAACUUUAGAAGAAGCACCGGCUAACUCCGUGCCAGCAGCCGCGGUAAUACGGAGGGUGCAAGCGUUAAUCGGAAUUACUGGGCGUAAAGCGUGCGUAGGCGGUUUAUUAAGUCAGAUGUGAAAGCCCCGGGCUUAACCUGGGAACUGCAUUUGAAACUGGUCAACUAGAGUAUGGUAGAGGAAAGUGGAAUUUCUGGUGUAGCGGUGAAAUGCGUAGAUAUCAGAAGGAACAUCAAUGGCGAAGGCAGCUUUCUGGACCAAUACUGACGCUGAGGUACGAAAGCGUGGGUAGCAAACAGGAUUAGAUACCCCUGGUAGUCCACGCCGUAAACGAUGAUAACUAGCCGUUGGAGGGAUUUACCCUUUAGUGGCGAAGCUAACGCGUUAAGUUAUCCGCCUGGGGAGUACGGCCGCAAGGUUAAAACUCAAAGGAAUUGACGGGGACCCGCACAAGCGGUGGAGCAUGUGGUUUAAUUCGAUGCAACGCGAAGAACCUUACCUGGUCUUGACAUCCUGCGAACUUUCUAGAAAUAGAUUGGUGCCUUCGGGAACGCAGUGACAGGUGCUGCAUGGCUGUCGUCAGCUCGUGUCGUGAGAUGUUGGGUUAAGUCCCGUAACGAGCGCAACCCCUAUCCUUAUUUGCCAGCACGUCAUGGUGGGAACUAUAAGGAGACUGCCGGUGAUAAACCGGAGGAAGGCGGGGACGACGUCAAGUCAUCAUGGCCCUUACGACCAGGGCUACACACGUGCUACAAUGGGAAGGACAAAGAGCCGCGAAGCCGCGAGGUGUAGCUAAUCUCAGAAACCUUUUCGUAGUCCGGAUUGGAGUCUGCAACUCGACUCCAUGAAGUCGGAAUCGCUAGUAAUCGUAGAUCAGAAUGCUACGGUGAAUACGUUCCCGGGUCUUGUACUCACCGCC